rnacentral:tRNA from 1 species
GCCUGAGUGGCUCAAUUGGUUGAGCGACCGACUUCAGCUCGGGUCAUGAUCUGGCGGUUUGUGAGUUCGAGCCCCGUGUCGGGCU